AAUCAGCUGCUGGUAAAUAAUUGAAAAGGAGUGUAAAAAGAGAAAGGUGAAUAUUCUGUUGGUACCAGCACACUUCAAGAACUCAAGACUGAAUCACAUAAAAAAAAAUUGCAUCCUGCAUCAAUAGGAAUUGGUAUUCUGAUUCAUAAUGGAAUAAAAUCUAUAUGACAGAUCAAGCAAAUGGAUUUCAAUUCAGCAUCCACAGG
rnacentral:lncRNA from 1 species